ensembl:lncRNA
CCACCCCCCUAAGACUGACCCCACCCCGUCAAAUACUUUCUGAACACUAACAGACACACAGUUUUAAAAAAGGUCUGAGUUUCCAUCCCCGAACCCCCUCCCCAAGAAGACCAUUCCGUACAUGUCAAAUCAAACUAAUCCAGAACAGUUACAGACUAAAAGCAGAGACAUGUACUCUGUUUGUGGGGAUGUAAACGUAUUAAUUACAAAUGAUGAAAAUAAAGCAGAUUUGGAAGGAGAAUGAGGACUAAAGGAAUGAGUGGGAGGGGGAUCAGACAGAGAGGGGGGGGGGUGAAGGACCAGAGGGUCUCAGACAGAGAGGGGAGGAUGAAGGACCAGAGGGUCUCAGACAGAGAGGGGAGGAUGAAGGACCAGAGGGCCUCAGACAGAGAGGGGAGGAUGAAGGACCAGAGGGUCUCAGACAGAGAGGGGAGGAUGAAGGACCAGAGGGUCUCAGACAGAGAGGGGAGGAUGAAGGACCAGAGGGUCUCAGACAGAGAGGGGAGGAUGAAGGACCAGAGAGUCUCAGACAGAGAGGGAGACAAAGCUGUUGUACUGCUGGAUGUUUCUCUUCAGGAUGUCUGAGCAGGGUCCCAGGACGCGUUCGAAACGCGGUCGAUCCAGCUUGACACACUUCAGGGGUCCUCUAGAGACCACGGUGGCAGCACGGGGGCGGUUCAUCAACAACGCGAUCUCACCUGUGUUAGAAAUCAGCCGUUUCGUAUAGUGGUUGUAAUAAUUAUCUACACCUACAAUGAAACGUACAUUCACAUUGUAAUUGUUAAUGCUCAGAUUCCACACCUGGAAGUGAACAGGAAGAAAACACAAGGAUACACAACAACUUCCUGUCACUUACUGACAUGUCAAACACUGACAUUUCAAAGACUGAAAGUCAAUGGGAUUGGGAGCCCCAGACACAUCUGACAGGGUUAGUAGCAGAGAUGGGGACAAGUCACACAUGGUCAAGUCCAAGCAAGUCUCAAGUCUAAACCAUCAAGUCUCGAGUCAAGUCUCAAGUCAC